GAUGAACGCUAGCGAUAGGCUUAACACAUGCAAGUCGAGGGGCAGCAUGGUCUUAGCUUGCUAAGACUGAUGGCGACCGGCGCACGGGUGCGUAACGCGUAUGCAACUUGCCUCACAGAGGGGGAUAACCCGUCGAAAGACGGACUAAUACCGCGUACACUCCAUCUUGGGCAUCCAAGGUAGAGGAAAUGAAAUUCGCUGUGAGAUAGGCAUGCGUCCCAUUAGCUAGUUGGUGAGGUAACGGCUCACCAAGGCGACGAUGGGUAGGGGAACUGAGAGGUUGAACCCCCACACUGGUACUGAGACACGGACCAGACUCCUACGGGAGGCAGCAGUGAGGAAUAUUGGGCGAUGGGCGAGAGCCUGAACCAGCCAAGUCGCGUGAAGGAUGACUGGCUUAUGGAUUGUAAACUUCUUUUAUACGGGAAUAGCAUGAGUCACGUGGGACUCCCUGCAUGUACCGUAUGAAUAAGCAUCGGCUAACUCCGUG
rnacentral:rRNA from 1 species